AUCGUGUUCCGGGGUCGGUGUGAUUCCGAACCGGCGGUCAGAGUCCGCGAGCGUCGCACCUGCGAUGCUGAACCGGUGGAAUUCCGGUACCGACGGUGAUGGACGCCCUGCGCGUUCGAGUCCGGAUGAGAGGAACGCGCG
rnacentral:ncRNA from 1 species